AUUGAACGCUGGCGGCAGGCCUAACACAUGCAAGUCGAACGGUAGCAGGAAGCAGCUUGCUGCUUUGCUGACGAGUGGCGGACGGGUGAGUAAUGUCUGGGAAACUGCCUGAUGGAGGGGGAUAACUACUGGAAACGGUAGCUAAUACCGCAUAACGUCGCAAGACCAAAGAGGGGGACCUUAGGGCCUCUUGCCAUCGGAUGUGCCCAGAUGGGAUUAGCUAGUAGGUGGGGUAACGGCUCACCUAGGCGACGAUCCCUAGCUGGUCUGAGAGGAUGACCAGCCACACUGGAACUGAGACACGGUCCAGACUCCUACGGGAGGCAGCAGUGGGGAAUAUUGCACAAUGGGCGCAAGCCUGAUGCAGCCAUGCCGCGUGUAUGAAGAAGGCCUUCGGGUUGUAAAGUACUUUCAGCGGGGAGGAAGGGAGUAAAGUUAAUACCUUUGCUCAUUGACGUUACCCGCAGAAGAAGCACCGGCUAACUCCGU
rnacentral:rRNA from 1 species